GGGGUGUAGCUUAGUGGUAGAGUGCUUGCCUAGUCAGCAGAAGGCCCUGAGUUCCAUCCCCAGCACCACCG
rnacentral:tRNA from 1 species